rnacentral:rRNA from 1 species
GAUGAACGCUGGCGGCGUGCCUAAUACAUGCAAGUCGAGCGAACAGACGAGGAGCUUGCUCCUCUGACGUUAGCGGCGGACGGGUGAGUAACACGUGGAUAACCUACCUAUAAGACUGGGAUAACUUCGGGAAACCGGAGCUAAUACCGGAUAAUAUAUUGAACCGCAUGGUUCAAUAGUGAAAGACGGUUUUGCUGUCACUUAUAGAUGGAUCCGCGCCGCAUUAGCUAGUUGGUAAGGUAACGGCUUACCAAGGCGACGAUGCGUAGCCGACCUGAGAGGGUGAUCGGCAACACUGGAACUGAGACACGGUCCAGACUCCUACGGGAGGCAGCAGUAGGGAAUCUUCCGCGAUGGGCGAAAGCCUGACGGAGCAACGCCGCGUGAGUGAUGAAGGUCUUCGGAUCGUAAAACUCUGUUAUUAGGGAAGAACAAAUGUGUAAGUAACUAUGCACGUCUUGACGGUACCUAAUCAGAAAGCCACGGCUAACUACGUG